GUGGCUGUGGCGAAGUGGUUAACGCAUCGGAUUGUGAUUCCGACAUACGUGGGUUCAAUCCCCAUCAGCCACCCCA
rnacentral:tRNA from 1 species